rnacentral:rRNA from 1 species
GCGUUAAUCGGAAUUAAUGGGCGUAAAGCGUGCGCAGGCGGUGAUGUAAGACAGGUGUGAAAUCCCCGGGCUUAACCUGGGAACUGCGUCGGAUACUGGAUGGCUUGAAUUCGGGAGAGGGAUGCAGAAUUCCAGGUGUAGCGGUGAAAUGCGUAGAUAUCUGGAGGAAUACCGGUGGCGAAGGCGGCAUCCUGGACCGACAUUGACGCUGAUGAGCGAAAGCGAGGGGGGCAAACGGG